rnacentral:rRNA from 1 species
GACCUCCGAUCAAGCAAGAGGACCCGCUGAAUUUA